rnacentral:lncRNA from 1 species
GACGCGCGUGGAGGUCGGUCGCUCGGAGGUGCUGGGCGCGUCGCGGUGGCGGGCGAGUUCCUGCGAGUACCCAGUGGUCUCCCUCUGCCCGCAGCCUCUCGACCGGUCGCCCCGCGCUCCUUCCAGCGCCUUCCGCCUUCAGCCCGUCGAAGCUCUGGAGAUGAAUUUCGCCAUCUCUUCAGAGAUGACCCAGAUUAUGAUGCAUGAUUAUCACAGAAGAAAUUCAUGUCUAUAGCUUUUAAGGACUUGAUUACAUCAUUUUCAAGCCUGAUAGUUUUGGAACCACCAUUAAAGCCUAAGACGUCUACCUUACUCAGCCACCUGUCUUCACACCAUAACCAAGUGCUUUGUUUCAACACUCCUUCUUUGUCUUUGGAUCAUUUGCGUUCUCAGUGACACAUUUCUCUUCAGUAAUUGUUGCCAAAUUUAUAAGGAAAAAUGAUUCCCC